GGAAAGAGGCGGAGAGAAAUGGCGCGCUCUGGUGACGUCACCACGCUGGGCCGGGCCGCAAGGACGGUCCUUCCUUCUUUCCUGCUCCUGGGCGAUGAGCUUCCCAGGUUUACCAUAAUAGCAGAAAUUGUGAAAUUGGCCUUGGACUUCAGCCUCUGCCUGAAAUUUCUGCAAUGAUUCUGCAUGACCUCUUUUUGGCAUCAUGUGCCAAAUUGAGACAGUAACACUCAACUCAGCUCAGGAGAUGACUGUGAGGACUGAAGACACCUGGGGCAGCAGUGUGUCCUAAGCAAGACAAUCUGUGUCAAGACCUUGAUAGUCUGCUGGUGCGAAAUGGAGACCCAGACAAGCUAAGCUACCUCUCCCAGAGUCACACAAGAAUUAUUGUAGUCUGAGAUGGGGACGUUGCGGGCGAAGUCUGGAAUGAGAAGACUCUAAGCUCCAUGCGGUUGAUCAGACCAUCUGCCGUCUUCCCUGCUGACUACUGACUUGGCUGGAACGUGGGUUGAAGGAGCAAAGAGGAAGCCAGUCCAACACCAAGAAGGUGCAGUCUAAGCUAGAACUUGGAGAAGAGCGUGAUGUUUUCCAAGUGGAUGGCCAUGGAGUGCUAUCACUUCUGGACAGAGAAAGCUUCAUUUGCAGGAUGCUGAAGCAGAGCUAGAUAGGUGUGUUUGGAAAAGUGUGAU